GCCGGGCAUGGUGGCUCAUGCCUGUAAUCCCAGCACUUUGGGAGGCUGAGGUGGGUGGAUCACCUGAGGUUGGGAGUUCAAGACCAGCCUGACCAACAUGGUGAAACCCCGUCUCUA
rnacentral:SRP_RNA from 1 species